rnacentral:pre_miRNA from 1 species
CAGACCCUAACAGAAGGCCGUCCUUGGACAUGAUUAGCGAAUUCUUGGGCAUGGAACUGCCUUCGAAAAAACGUCUU